rnacentral:rRNA from 1 species
GGAAGGUCCGGGCGUUAUCCGGAUUUAUUGGGUUUAAAGGGAGCGUAGGCCGGAGAUUAAGCGUGUUGUGAAAUGUAGACGCUCAACGUCUGCACUGCAGCGCGAACUGGUUUCCUUGAGUACGCACAAAGUGGGCGGAAUUCGUGGUGUAGCGGUGAAAUGCUUAGAUAUCACGAAGAACUCCGAUUGCGAAGGCAGUUCCCUGGAGUGCGAUUGACGCUGAGGCUCGAAAGUGCGGGUAU